AGGAGUUUCAGAAAUCACUCGGAGGCAAACAUUCUGUGUACGACACCACCAAUCGGACUGGACGUUCUCUGAAGGAGAAAACUUCCCUGGCCGACGACACCCUGAAGCUGGAGAACAUGCUGAGCGAACUCAGGGACAAAUGGGACACCAUCUGUGGAAAGUCCGUGGAAAGACAAAACAAACUGGAGGAAGCCCUGUUGUUUUCCGGGCAGUUCACAGAUGCCCUGCAGGCCCUCAUUGAUUGGCUGUAUCGGGUUGAGCCCCAGCUGGCAGAAGACCAACCUGUUCACGGAGACAUUGACUUGGUGAUGAACCUGAUCGAUAAUCACAAGGUAUUGUACUCCGGAACGGCCUUCUAUUCUGUUUGGUUGUGUAUUCUGAGUACUGAGAAGGCAGCAA
rnacentral:lncRNA from 1 species